ACUUCACCAAGUCAGAUCAGGCUGGACUAGAAACAAGCAGGUCCAACUGACAAGGCAUCAAUCUUUCCAUUAACUUCAUUAAGUCAUGUCGAGUAUAAAGACAAGUCGAACUAGGAGCACCUAAAUCAAUCGAAUUGAUGUCCUAGUAAGCAUGGGUAAACCCUAAUCAUUAAGUGAUCUGAUCAAAAUUUGAUUCACUAUGUUGGCCAGAUAAGUGAGAUCGGUGGGACGAAUAUGCCAUUAACUCAUCAUAGAUACAAUCUAUGCGAGUAGCUUCCAAUUAAAAAUCAUCGGUCAAGACUGCCAAACUUAUCUUAGACACCAACUAGUUAAUCAAUUUCAAUUGGAUCAGCUUUUGGAUUUAGGUUUGAUCGCUGAGCUUAAGAUCAAAGUCCAUUUGGAUCUAAUCAAAGACAUGGACUCAACCAACCAUAACUAUUGUAUUAGCUCUAAAGAAAUUCUGAUUUAAUUUAAUUUCUCUUCUUAGUCCAUUUAAUCUUUGAUUCUAACCCU
rnacentral:lncRNA from 1 species